rnacentral:rRNA from 1 species
UACGAAGGGGGCUAGCGCUGCUCGGAAUGACUGGGCGUAAAGGGCGCGUAGGCGGUUCGUACAGUCAGACGUGAAAUUCCCGGGCUCAACCUGGGGGCUGCGUUUGAUACGUGCGGGCUUGAGUUCGGAAGAGGGUCGUGGAAUUCCCAGUGUAGAGGUGAAAUUCGUAGAUAUUGGGAAGAACACCGGUGGCGAAGGCAGCUCGCUGGGACGGUACUGACGCUGAGACGCGAAAGCGUGGGGAGCAAACAGG